rnacentral:lncRNA from 1 species
CUUUUUACAAUAAAUAAACAAAUUACAAAUAUAUUAUUUUUUUAAAUUAAAUAGAUAUUUGCUCCAUAUUAACUAUUGACAACAACUGUGGCAACACUGAAUGUUCCACAGAGUCACAGUUUGGCCACUAUGGGUAUAAAGUAAGUUCUUUAGAAAGCAUGCAACAAGACUGGAAUGAUCAUCAGAAAGAAUGUAGAACAGGCCACUGGAAAUUAAUCAAGUUGUCUCAUCAUAAAAAUAUCUUACAUCAUCAAAUACUGAUUGAAAAAAGAAGAAUGAUGAAAAUCAAAUCGAAGAAUUGGAUAUAUAAUAGGAAUAUGCAAAAUUAUAUUAAAAAAAUCAGAUAUAUACAGAGACUUAACAUAAAAAAAGAUCCAAAAAAACAGCAUUGAAAAC